rnacentral:piRNA from 1 species
UACUCUUUUGCUAUUUAGGGAUAGAGCU